UACGGGGGGGGCAAGCGUUGUUCGGAAUUACUGGGCGUAAAGGGCUCGUAGGCGGCCAACUAAGUCAGACGUGAAAUCCCUCGGCUUAACCGGGGAACUGCGUCUGAUACUGGAUGGCUUGAGUUUGGGAGAGGGAUGCGGAAUUCCAGGUGUAGCGGUGAAAUGCGUAGAUAUCAGGAGGAACACCAAUGGCGAAGGCAGCUCGCUGGGACGUGACUGACGCUGAGACGCGAAAGCGUGGGGAGCAAACAGG
rnacentral:rRNA from 1 species